rnacentral:rRNA from 1 species
GCACAAGCGGUGGAGCAUGUGGUUUAAUUCGAAGCAACGCGAAGAACCUUACCAGGUCUUGACAUCCCCUGACAACCCGAGAGAUCGGGCGUUCCCCUUCGGGGGACAGGGUGACAGGUGGUGCAUGGUUGUCGUCAGCUCGUGUCGUGAGAUGUUGGGUUAAGUCCCGCAACGAGCGCAACCCUCGACCUUAGUUGCCAGCAUUCAGUUGGGCACUCUAAGGUGACUGCCGGCUAAAAGUCGGAGGAAGGUGGGGAUGACGUCAAAUCAUCAUGCCCCUUAUGACCUGGGCUACACACGUGCUACAAUGGGCGGUACAAAGGGUCGCGAACCCGCGAGGGGGAGCCAAUCCCAAAAGCCGGUCGUAGUCCGGAUCGCAGUCUGCAACUCGACUGCGUGAAGUCGGAAUCGCUAGUAAUCGCGGAUCAGCAUGUCGCGGUGAAUACGUUCCCGGGUCUU